GUGCCAGCCGCCGCGGUAAGACAGAGGGUGCAAACGUUGCUCGGAUUUACUGGGCGUAAAGCGCAAGUAGGCGGUCUUGUAAGUCGGGUGUGAAAACCCGGGGCUCAACCCCGGCAGUGCACACGAUACUGCGAGACUGGGGUACUGAAGAGGAGAGAGGAAUUCUCGGUGUAGAGGUGAAAUUCGUAGAUAUCGGGAGGAACACCAGUGGCGAAGGCGGCUCUCUGGGCAGAUACCGACGCUGAGAUGCGAAAGCGUGGGAAGCAAACAGGAUUAGAUACCCUGGUAGUCC
rnacentral:rRNA from 1 species